GAACAAGCGCAGGGCAUUUAUUUCACCAUGCACUAGGAUAUAUGACAGUAACACAUCCAAAUGUUCCACAGAAUCCAGCUCUUGGGAAAUGAUGCAGUGCCUCACUUGCUGCACCGAGACAGAAAAUAUCAGGUGGCAGAGAGAAAGGUGCACCUAUAUGCCUAAAAGCUAUUUGAGGAUCUGCAAGAGAAAGGUAAAAACCAGAUGGAUAUCAAAGCAUAUUUACUUACUUGGUCUUAAGGUGGUGGGAUAAGAAUAAAAGAUUCAAGCAGAUUACA
rnacentral:lncRNA from 1 species